UACGAAGGGGGCUAGCGUUGUUCGGAAUUACUGGGCGUAAAGCGCACGUAGGCGGAUAUUUAAGUCAGGGGUGAAAUCCCGGGGCUCAACCCCGGAACUGCCUUUGAUACUGGGUAUCUCGAGUCCGAGAGAGGUGAGUGGAAUUCCGAGUGUAGAGGUGAAAUUCGUAGAUAUUCGGAGGAACACCAGUGGCGAAGGCGGCUCACUGGCUCGGUACUGACGCUGAGACACGAAAGCGUGGGGAGCAAACAGG
rnacentral:rRNA from 1 species